ACGCUCGACACCUACGGGAGGCAGCAGUGGGGAAUAUUGGGCAAUGGGCGCAAGCCUGACCCAGCAACGCCGCGUGAAGGAAGAAGGCUUUCGGGUUGUAAACUUCUUUUGUUCAGGGAACAGUAGAUGAGGGUACCUGACGAAUAAGCUCCGGCUAACUACGUGCCAACAGCCGCGGUAAUCUGAGCGGGCUGGCAAGGC
rnacentral:rRNA from 1 species